CAAAGUGGGUAGCCUAAUUUAAAUUUCAGAAAUUUGAAGCGGAGGAACCAAUUUUUGGGGCUCAUCUUGUAAACAGGAUAAAGGAUAAAUGAGAAACUGCUCUUUCUUACUUCAUCCUUGACACGACAAAGCUGAAUCCUUCAAGAGAGACACCUUCCAGUCUUAGCCCGUCAGCUAACUCCGUCGGCAAUGGAAGGAACC
rnacentral:sRNA from 2 species